CCUACGGGAGGCAGCAGUGGGGGAUAUUGCACAAUGGGGGAAACCCUGAUGCAGCGACGCCGCGUGGGCGACGAAGUCUUUCGGUAUGUAAAGCCCUUUCAGCAGGGAAGAAGAAAUGACGGUACCUGAGUAAGAAGCACUGGCUAAAUACGUGCCAGCAGCCGCGUGCAGACGGAGGGGGCAAGCGUUAUCCGGAUUUACUGGGUGUAAGGGGAGCGCAGGCGGCACGGCAAGCCUGAGGGGAAAGCCCGCGGCCCAACCGCGGGACUGCAUUGGGAACUACCGGGCUGGAGUGCCGGAGAGGUAGGCGGAAUGCGUAGUGUAGCGGUGAAAUGCGUAGAUAUUA
rnacentral:rRNA from 1 species